UACGGGGGGAGCAAGCGUUGUUCGGAUUUACUGGGCGUAAAGGGCGCGUAGGCGGCGUGACGAGUCACUUGUGAAAUCUCCGGGCUUAACCCGGAACGGUCAAGUGAUACUGUCGUGCUAGAGUACAGAAGGGGCAACUGGAAUUCUCGGUGUAGCGGUGAAAUGCGUAGAUAUCGAGAGGAACACCUGCGGCGAAGGCGGGUUGCUGGGCUGAUACUGACGCUGAGGUGCGAAAGCGUGGGGAGCAAACAGG
rnacentral:rRNA from 1 species